UGUCGUUGUACAAUGGUUUCUAGGGAGACUGGUUGAGAGCAAAGCACGGACAGUACACGUAAAUGUCUAUGGAACCAACAACAAUCCAUCAAACCUUUCUUCUCUGUUGACUUUUAGCCUUCUGGACACCACCGUCCGGCAUAACCAAGGAAAAACACCAGGAUACGACACUUGCCCCAGUGUGUUUUUCGGACUGUUUGCUUUUACUGCCACACAAUACAUUCACGACAAACCCUGAAGAGGACAAAAUCCUAAACGGGGACGCACAUUGAACGCAUUUCUUCUUAGCAAUUAUCUAGACAAGCAAAUCAAACAAUGUUGGAUGGACGAUCCGGCAGUCCUGAACGACCGUUCUGGGCUCCAUAACCAGCCAAGCGAAGUGAGCGAGGCCGGCCAACCUGAAUCGCGACGUGCACCGUUCGUGAGGUGAUUCGUAAACUCAGGCAGGCCAACUCGAGACGAGACGCACGGUGUACCGAAGUGAGACGCCCAUCCGGAGGAGGACUUCGCUGGGACGAGAUAAAAUAUCAAAUUAUUAUUUUGCGUUAUAUUGUUAUAAUUUGGAGUUAAUAGAUUUGCUUUGUUUUCAA